rnacentral:rRNA from 1 species
GACGAACGUUGGCGGCGUGCUUAAUACAUGCAAGUCAACUGAAGCAGUGGUAGCAAUAUCGCUGUGGAGGUGGCGCACGGGUGAGUAACACGUAGGUAAUCUACCUUCAGGUCUGGCAUAACUCCGGGAAACCGGGGCUAAUAGCAGAUGAUGCAGCGGCUCGACAUCGAGACAGUUGUUAAAGCUAUGGCGCCUGAAGAUGAGCCUGCGUCUGAUUAGCUAGUUGGCGGGGUAACGGCCCACCAAGGCAACGAUCAGUAGCUGGUCUGAGAGGAUGAUCAGCCACACUGGAACUGAGACACGGUCCAGACUCCUACGGGAGGCAGCAGUAAGGAAUAUUGCUCAAUGGGAGAAAUCCUGAAGCAGCAACGCCGCGUGAGGGACGAAGGGCUUUUGCUUGUAAACCUCUGUAGUGAGAGAAAAAAAUCCCAAUCUUUGGGACAUGAUGGUAUCUCAAAAGUAAGCCCCGGCUAACUACGUG